rnacentral:rRNA from 1 species
AUUGAACGCUGGCGGCAGGCCUAACACAUGCAAGUCGAGCGAGCGGCGGACGGGUGAGUAAUGUCUGGGAAACUGCCUGAUGGAGGGGGAUAACUACUGGAAACGGUAGCUAAUACCGCAUACCAUCAGAUGUGCCCAGAUGGGAUUAGCUAGUAGGUGGGGUAACGGCUCACCUAGGCGACGAUCCCUAGCUGGUCUGAGAGGAUGAGCCGCCACACUGGAACUGAGACAAGGUCCAGACUCCUACGGGAGGAAGCAGUGGGGAAUAGUGCACAAUGGGCGCAAGCCUGAUGCAGCCAGGCGGCGGGUAUGAAGAAGGCCUGCGGGUGGUAAAGUACUUUCAGCGGGGAGGCGUUACCCGCAGAAGAAGCACCGGCUAACUCCGUGCCAGCAGCCGCGGUAAUUC